rnacentral:rRNA from 2 species
UACGGGGGGGGCAAGCGUUGUUCGGAAUUACUGGGCGUAAAGGGCUCGUAGGUGGCCAACUAAGUCGGACGUGAAAUCCCUCGGCUUAACCGGGGAACUGCGUCCGAUACUGGUUGGCUUGAGUUUGGGAGAGGGAUGCGGAAUUCCAGGUGUAGCGGUGAAAUGCGUAGAUAUCUGGAGGAACACCGGUGGCGAAGGCGGCAUCCUGGACCGGUAUUGACGCUGAGGCGCGAAAGCUAGGGGAGCAAACGGG